rnacentral:rRNA from 1 species
UACGAAGGGGGCUAGCGUUGCUCGGAAUUACUGGGCGUAAAGCGCACGUAGGCGGAUUGUUAAGUCGGGGGUGAAAUCCUGGAGCUCAACUCCAGAACUGCCUUCGAAACUGGCGAUCUUGAGUUCGGGAGAGGUGAGUGGAACUGCGAGUGUAGAGGUGAAAUGCGUAGAUAUUGGGAGGAACACCAGUGGCGAAGGCGGCUACCUGGACCGGUUCUGACGCUGAGGCGCGAAAGCGUGGGUAGCAAACAGGA